rnacentral:rRNA from 1 species
UACGUAGGGUACAAGCGUUGUCCGGAAUUAUUGGGCGUAAAGAGCUCGUAGGCGGUCUGUCGCGUCUGCUGUGAAAACUCAGGGCUUAACCCUGAGCUUGCAGUGGGUACGGGCAGACUAGAGUGCGGUAGGGGAGACUGGAAUUCCUGGUGUAGCGGUGAAAUGCGCAGAUAUCAGGAGGGAACACCGGUGGCCGGAAAGGCGGGUCUCUGGGCCGUAACUGACGC